rnacentral:lncRNA from 1 species
CAAAUCUGCUGUUCUACCCCUGAACAGGCAGUUAACCUACUGUGGAAAUGCCAGACAGUGUUCUUCUUGGUGCCAUCAAACUGAAUUCAGAGGAUGAUAAUGAAAAUAUGGAUCUCGCAUAAACAGUCGUGUGACUUCGUUGGUUACCAUAGCAACGUUCACGCAAACUGGUCAAUCGGCCCUUGUUGGUCAGUCAGCUUUGCACAACAGUGCCACAAUUGCAAUUUGACAGCAUCAUUUUGUCCACAACUCUUUUGGUUAAAGGCAGUGCUACACCUGGCUACCUACCCAACCCUGCAACUUUGA